AGAGUUUGAUCCUGGCUCAGGAUGAACGCUGGCGGCGUGCCUAAUACAUGCAAGUCGAGCGAACGGACGAGAAGCUUGCUUCUCUGAUGUUAGCGGCGGACGGGUGAGUAACACGUGGAUAACCUACCUAUAAGACUGGGAUAACUUCGGGAAACCGGAGCUAAUACCGGAUAAUAUUUUGAACCGCAUGGUUCAAAAGUAAAAGACGGUCUUGCUGUCACUUAUAGAUGGAUCCGCGCUGCAUUAGCUAGUUGGUAAGGUAACGGCUUACCAAGGCAACGAUGCAUAGCCGACCUGAGAGGGUGAUCGGCCACACUGGAACUGAGACACGGUCCAGACUCCUACGGGAGGCAGCAGUAGGGAAUCUUCCGCAAUGGGCGAAAGCCUGACGGAGCAACGCCGCGUGAGUGAUGAAGGUCUUCGGAUCGUAAAACUCUGUUAUUAGGGAAGAACAUAUGUGUAAGUAACUGUGCACAUCUUGACGGUACCUAAUCAGAAAGCCACGGCUAACUACGUGCCAGCAGCCGCGGUAAUACGUAGGUGGCAAGCGUUAUCCGGAAUUAUUGGGCGUAAAGCGCGCGUAGGCGGUUUUUUAAGUCUGAUGUGAAAGCCCACGGCUCAACCGUGGAGGGUCAUUGGAAACUGGAAAACUUGAGUGCAGAAGAGGAAAGUGGAAUUCCAUGUGUAGCGGUGAAAUGCGCAGAGAUAUGGAGGAACACCAGUGGCGAAGGCGACUUUCUGGUCUGUAACUGACGCUGAUGUGCGAAAGCGUGGGGAUCAAACAGGAUUAGAUACCCUGGUAGUCCACGCCGUAAACGAUGAGCGCUAAGUGUUAGGGGGUUUCCGCCCCUUAGUGCUGCAGCUAACGCAUUAAGCACUCCGCCUGGGGAGUACGACCGCAAGGUUGAAACUCAAAGGAAUUGACGGGGACCCGCACAAGCGGUGGAGCAUGUGGUUUAAUUCGAAGCAACGCGAAGAACCUUACCAAAUCUUGACAUCCUUUGACAACUCUAGAGAUAGAGCCUUCCCCUUCGGGGGACAAAGUGACAGGUGGUGCAUGGUUGUCGUCAGCUCGUGUCGUGAGAUGUUGGGUUAAGUCCCGCAACGAGCGCAACCCUUAAGCUUAGUUGCCAUCAUUAAGUUGGGCACUCUAAGUUGACUGCCGGUGACAAACCGGAGGAAGGUGGGGAUGACGUCAAAUCAUCAUGCCCCUUAUGAUUUGGGCUACACACGUGCUACAAUGGACAAUACAAAGGGCAGCGAAACCGCGAGGUCAAGCAAAUCCCAUAAAGUUGUUCUCAGUUCGGAUUGUAGUCUGCAACUCGACUACAUGAAGCUGGAAUCGCUAGUAAUCGUAGAUCAGCAUGCUACGGUGAAUACGUUCCCGGGUCUUGUACACACCGCCCGUCACACCACGAGAGUUUGUAACACCCGAAGCCGGUGGAGUAACCUUUUAGGAGCUAGCCGUCGAAGGUGGGACAAAUGAUUGGGGUGAAGUCGUAACAAGGUAGCCGUAUCGGAAGGUGCGGCUGGAUCACCU
rnacentral:rRNA from 1 species